rnacentral:rRNA from 1 species
UACGGGGGGUGCGAGCGUUGUCCGGAAUCACUGGGCGUAAAGGGCGCGUAGGCGGCCUUCUAAGUCGAACGUGAAAUCCCCGGGCUCAACCCGGGAACUGCGUCCGAUACUGGAUGGCUUGAAUCCGGGAGAGGGAUGCAGAAUUCCAGGUGUAGCGGUGAAAUGCGUAGAUAUCUGGAGGAAUACCGGUGGCGAAGGCGGCAUCCUGGACCGGCAUUGACGCUGAGGAGCGAAAGCUAGGGGAGCAAACGGG